GAUGAACGCUGGCGGCGUGCUUAACACAUGCAAGUCGAACGGGAAACCUUUUAUUGAAGCUUCUGCAGAUUUAGCUGGUUUCUAGUGGCGGACGGGUGAGUAACGCGUGGGUAACCUGCCUUAUACAGGGGGAUAACAACCAGAAAUGGUUGCUAAUACCGCAUAAGCGCACAGGACCGCAUGGUCCGGUGUGAAGAACUCCGGUGGUAUAAGAUGGACCCGCGUUGGAUUAGCUAGUUGGCAGGGUAACGGCCUACCAAGGCGACGAUCCAUGGCCGGGCGGGGAGGGUGAACGGCCACAUUGGGACUGAGACACGGCCCAGACUCCUACGGGAGGCAGCAGUGGGGAAUAUUGCACAAUGGGGGAAACCCUGAUGCAGCGACGCCGCGUGAAGGAAGAAGUAUCUCGGUAUGUAAACUUCUAUCAGCAGGGAAGAUAGUGACGGUACCUGACUAAGAAGCCCCGGCUAACUACGUG
rnacentral:rRNA from 1 species